GGUCUCGUGGCCAAUGGUUAAGGCGCUUGACUACGGUUACGUGCAAUCAAGAGAUUCCAGGUUCGACUCCUGGCGGGAUCG
rfam:Schizosaccharomyces japonicus yFS275 unplaced genomic scaffold supercont5.2, whole genome shotgun sequence.